rnacentral:misc_RNA from 1 species
GUGAAUCAUCGAAUCUUUGAACGCAUAUUGCGCCCUUUGGUAUUCCGAAGGGCAUGCCUGUUCGAGCGUCAUUAUCACAGCAUCAAGCUUGGCUUGUCGUUGGGCCCUUUGUCACCUGGUGACAGGUCCAAAAGAUAAUGACCGGUGUCAUACAGACUCUACAUGCAACGAGCUGAUAACAGCACGCAUUUAGUAGUCAUAUGGCCCGGUUCUCACCUCUUAUUUCUCAAGGUUGACCUCGGAUCAGGUAGGAAUACCCGCUGAACUUAAGCAUAUCAAUAAGCGGAGGA